UAUACUGUAUAUUGACAGUAUGUUAUAGCUCUGAUAUUUGUAAAUAAGUGCAUCGGAUAUCUACCGCAUUCUCCAUACACCAUAGUAUUCGUCGUAUUGGAUUUAACACGAAGAAAUCUUUUAC